UCUGCACGAUCGGGACCCUUGGCGAAAUUCUUUCCCACAGCACAGAAUGAAUGACUCGCUCGGCCUUCCGCCCGGCUUCGUGCCUCCCUCCGGAUGGGUCGUGGUAUCUCCAACGACGGGGGAGAUACUCCUGCGUGAAGGCAAAUUAAACGGUAAGCUAGUCUAUUCCCCUGUGCCACAUGUGACCAGAACCUCACAAAAUGUCCGCCUUUCCACCAGUUCGCCACCAAAGCAAGACAGAGUCGUGAGUGGAUCGGUUGCACUGACUGCCCUGUCUUGUGUCGUCAUCUUGCUGGCUCUCGUGAGAAUCUGCAUGCGUCGGUGGGCGCAGUAUGACGAGAAGAAAGCUGAGAGAAAAAGGAGACAAGAAAGAGAAAGGCGACGCAGGCAAACGGAAGACGAUGCAGAAGGGCUCAGACCGCUUCGAGCGCACCCAGAGGGAGAGACAGAUUGGGCCCGCGAGAGAAGAUCGCAUCCUCCCGAACGCUCUGUUCAUAGCUUCGCCUUUGACAGUUGGGACAACCCGCCCUAUCGGGCCUGGAACAGUAGGCGGUGGGCACCGAAGACCGGGCGAGCUGCCAGAUGGACGCCGGCAGGACGACUGAGGCGACGACACGCCCAUUUCUAUUCGAGACCACGAGAUAGGUCGAUGCGUCCUCGGGAGUAUCGCGGCAGGGAUCGGGAACGGCGAAACCGCCGAAAUUUCCGCCGAACCGAAGCAUGGGGCCGAGAGAACUUGGAAAACCGGACGGCAUUAGACCGUGAUCGCCGGGGACGGAAAUACCGGCGUAGGCACAGGAAGAAGAGAGAAAAAGAGCCAGGGGAGAAGGGUUUCCUUGACGGUGUGCUCUUUCGCUUGCUCAUGAUGAAUGUGUUUCCUCCCCUUGCACGGUAAAGCAAGACUCGUUGAGAAACUUUCCCACGUUCUGUUCGCCCUGCUAGACUAGGUGCGUCGCUAACAAUCGAGAGGAUCAUCCACACAGCUAAAGGCCCAAUUUUCAAACACUCUUGAGAGAUGGUCGAAGAAAGAAGACUUCAAACGCGUUUCCGUUUUCGAGAAUCACCACGCGCUCCUUACACGACCCAGAAGUUUCCGUGAGUAGCAGGUGCCGUGAAGUUGCCC
rnacentral:lncRNA from 1 species